AGCCUGGACUAUUUAUCUAAAAAAUAGAAGACUCAGGGAGGGUGGGCGGAGCGAAACCGAGUCCCCUCUCUAGCGCGAAAGCCGUUGCGCGUUAGACACGCGCAUCCGUUUUCUACUUUCUUGCCUGCUCGUUGCUUCUUUGCUUGUUACAGGUUUAUCCCAUAAUCCAGAUUCAGAUUGUGCACACUAUACUUUUGAGCAGUCGAUGGACCACUUGACCUUGUACCAGAGUUCCGAUCUCGCAAACCUGCGUUAACAACAAGAGGGGCCCCGUCGAAUCGCACGAGCGCUUGAACAGGGCUUCAACUGGAGGCUCCUCCCUUCUUUCAAACUUCCGCUAUUUAGCAGUGAUUUCUUCCUCUCUCGAAAACCCACUUCAACAGAAACCAUCGCUUCCCCAAAUAGUUCUGAAACAGGGUGGGUUCACUCUGCUAAGGAAGCACCGUUCGUUCAGACCUGAGAAUCGAGAAGGAGAAGAUAAGGGCGUGGGGGGAAAAGAAGAUGGUGCCGAGAAUCGGAGAGUAUGUUCCUUGUGAAAACUGGAAGAGAUUGAAUUGAAGGAGGCAGAGGAAGAAUCAGCUCCGAGAAGUGAAGUACAUUAAGUGAUGGCUUAGGGAUCUGAGUUUAUUGUCAUGCGCGCUCAAUAGUUGUCGAUUUGUACACAAUGAUCUUCGAUCUUUCUUGGACGACGGGUACAACAAGUGGAGGAGAACGAUUGUCGUCGCGGAAGAUGAUGCAGGAAGUCAAAUGGCGUGCCCACCUUCCGACCUCAUCAAAGGGUACUCGUCGGUUUCUCGGGCUGAUCUAUCCUUCAUUUUAUCUUAAAAUAUGUACCGUUCAUUUUAAAUUAAUAUUGAGUAAAUUGGAAUGAAUUCCCCUCUGUU